AUUGAACGCUGGCGGCAUGCUUUACACAUGCAAGUCGAACGCGAAAGGGGGCAACUCCUGAGUAGGAUUGCGCACGGGUGAGGAAUGCAUCGGAACGUGUCUAGUAGGUGGGGAACACCAGUCGGAAGAUUGGCUAAUACCCCAUACGGUGGAGACAGGAAAACGGGGGACCUGGCAACGGGCCUUGGGGUUUUUGGGGCGCCGGUGCCCGGUUAGCUAGUUGGCGGGGGAAGAGGCCACCAAGGCUUCGAUCGGUAGCUGGUCUGAGAGGAUGAUCAGCCACACUGGGACUGAGACACGGCCCAGACUCCUACGGGAGGCAGCAGUGGGGAAUUUUGGACAAUGGGGGCAACCCUGAUCCAGCCAUGCCGCGUGAGGGAAGAAGGCCUUCGGGCUGUAAACCUCUUUCGGGCGGGACGAAACGGGGGGCGUGAAUAACGCCUCUUACUGACGGUACCGCAAGAAGAAGCACCGGCUAACUCUGUGCCAGCAGCCGCAGUAAAAC
rnacentral:rRNA from 1 species